rnacentral:rRNA from 1 species
UACGGAGGGUGCUAGCGUUGUUCGGAAUUACUGGGCGUAAAGCGCGCGCAGGCGGUCCUUUAAGUCUGAUGUGAAAGCCCGGGGGCUCACCCCCCGGAAGGGCAUUGGAAACUGGCGACUCGAGUCCCGGAGAGGAAGGUGGAAUUCCUGGUGUAGCGGUGAAAUGCGUAGAUAUCAGGAGGAAUACCGGUGGCGAAGGCGGCCUUCUGGACGGUGACUGACGCUGGAGACGGCGAAAAGCGUGGGGGAGCAAAACAGG